AUACGGAGGAUCCGAGCGUUAUCCGGAUUUAUUGGGUUUAAAGGGUGCGCAGGCGGCCAUUUAAGUCAGCGGUUAAAUCGUGGGCUCAGCCCCAUUCUGCCGUUGAUACUGGGUGGCUUGAUUGCGGUCGAGGUUGGCGGAAUUCGUUGUGUAGCGGUGAAAUGCAUAGAUAUGACGAAGAACACCGAUUGCGUAGGCAGCUGACCAGACCGCAAAUGACGCUCAUGCACGAAAGUGCGGGGAUCGAACAGGAUUAGAUACCCUGGUAGUCCGCACAGUAAACGAUGAAUACUUGUUUUCGGCGAUAUAAUGUCGGAGGCAAAGCGAAAGCGAUAAGUAUUCCACCUGGGGAGUACGCCGGCAACGGUGAAACUCAAAUGAAUUGGCGGGG
rnacentral:rRNA from 1 species